UACGGAGGGUGCGAGCGGUAUCCGGAAUCACUGGGUUUAAAGGGUGCGUAGGCGGCUCGGUAAGUCAGUUGUGAAAGCCCUUUGCUUAACGAGGGAGGUACGAUUGAUACUGUCGAGCUUGAAUCGGGAUGAGGCAGGCGGAAUGUGGCAUGUAGCGGUGAAAUGCAUAGAUAUGCCAUAGAACACCGAUUGCGAAGGCAGCCUGCUGGGCCUGUAUUGACGCUGAGGCACGAAAGCGUGGGGAGCAAACAGG
rnacentral:rRNA from 1 species